GGUGGCCCUGAUCCCGAUGACUCUGAAACAUGCUUGGCCUUCCCCAGAGAUUCCUGCUCCCAGCCCAGGCCCAGACGGCAACAGAAGCUCAUGGCCCCAGCCUCCGCGGGAAGACCCAAUUACAGAAGAGAGAAGUAUGUGGAGACCCUUGGCUGAGGUUGGGGGUCCUGGAAGCUGGAGGGGAGUGAAGGGACAGGAUGGAGCGGGAGCGGCGCCAAAGCACGGGGAGAACCAGAGGCCGCAGGAAUGGCAGACUCUGGACAUGCUCCUAGAGAUGGGAGGUCAAAAUGAUCAACGUUCAGGGUCCCUUCAUCUCAGAGGGUCUCGAGUCACCUCAUUUAAAGUGUGGCCUGGGACACCUCCUAUCCAGCCAUACGCCGCCCAGGACUGGCUCAACAGCUCCACCCUCCACUGCUGUUCACCCAUGACACGUCACUUCCCACCCGCCACUGCUGGCUCACCUGUGACACCCCAGGCAGCUCAGAUGCCCGGCAGGUCCUGCUGGUAAGAGGGAGGCAGGAACUUGUCCUGUCUGGGACCCGGGCAUUGCUGGGCGCCG
ensembl:lncRNA LINC03048 long intergenic non-protein coding RNA 3048